rnacentral:lncRNA from 1 species
UUCAGAGCAAAUGAUGCAGGGGCCUGUGACACUGCAUGGAAAUGUUUCUUCAACAUACCAUGGUUUAAAAGGACAAUUUUUUGUGUUAUCUUUAAAUGAAUUUGAAGGCCACAGAGAACAAGUGAGAAUGUUACUCAGUAAUACAGAAGUAAUUAAGUUUCUCAUUUCUUCCAGGGCUUUUCUUCAGGAGUCAGAGAGUCUGGUGGACAGGGUGGGUGUGUGUGCCCCGGUGGAGGUUCAGUAAGUAUUUUUUGUCUUUAUGUAUCUUUCAUAGUAUGUACACAUACUGGAAAAUUCCCAAGGAAUGACAUUUCUUGAAAUGAUUUUGUCAGUGAAGUUCUAUGUAUGAUGAAAGCUUUUUCCACAUUAUGCCAAAGUGAGCAAUUUUGAACUUGCUAAAGGCAGAAAUAUUAAGUGACUUGCAAGCAUAGUAUUGUGUUCAAAACUAGCUACUCAGUUUGUAAAAGAGAGGUCAGGGACUUUUCUAAGAAUCUGUUUCCCAAAUAUCUCAUAGUGUACCUGUUGGGUUUUGAACUUUGCUCUUAUGAUAGUUAUUAACAGUAUGAUUGAAUAAGUGAAACUUAGAUUAAAAUCUUGGCUCCAGAUUCUUUCAGAAUGGAGCAGAGAAACACAUUUGGAAAAGUUAAAGCUAUUUCCAUUUUUCUAUCUAAUUAGUAUAUUUCCUAAUUCUUUGCAAAUUCCUGAAAAUGAAGAAAACCCUAACAUACAAAUUCCCCCCCUGUACAAAANNNNNNNNNNNNNNNNNNNNNNCCCCCCCCAUUUUGCUGAGAUUAGGUUAAUUUACUCCUGAAGGAGGGUUCAGUUAUCUGGUUUUUUUCACAGUCAAAACUGCUUGGAUCACUACUCUUUAUUGGUCUGUGUAAUCAAGCAAAAUGGCAUGCCCAAGUAUAUAACCCAGGUCAUAUAUGCCAAUUCUGAUAAUCAAAAGUGUUGAAAACAACAUAUAAAUUAGAGUUUAUAUAAAAAUAUAAUAAUAAUAAUAAUAAUAAUAAUAAUAAUAAUAAUAAUAAUAAUAAUAAUAAUAAUAAUAAUAAUAAUACAUAUCUAUUACUUGACAUAUAAAUCAAGAUGAAUCAGAAUAAAAGUAAGCAGUAUAAAUGACUUGAUCA